CUCGCAAGUCUAUAGCAAUUUG
rnacentral:snRNA from 1 species